rnacentral:tRNA from 1 species
UUCGGUAUGGUGUAAUGUAACAUAGUCGCCUCUCAAGUGGCAGCCCCGGGUUCAAUUCCCGGUACCGAAA